AUUUUAAAUCUAGCCUAAAUAUAAAACACUACCUCUUA
rnacentral:rRNA from 1 species